rnacentral:rRNA from 1 species
AGAGUUUGAUCAUGGCUCAGGAUGAACGCUAGCGGCAGGCCUAACACAUGCAAGUCGAGGGGUAACAGGGAGCUUGCUCUGCUGACGACCGGCGCACGGGUGCGCAACGCGUAUGCAAUCUACCUCUUACUAAGGGAUAGCCCAGAGAAAUUUGGAUUAAUAUCUUAUGUGGUAUAUGACUGGCAUCAGUUAUAUAUUAAAGGUUACGGUAAGAGAUGAGCAUGCGUCUCAUUAGUUAGUUGGUGUGGUAAUGGCACACCAAGACUUCGAUGAGUAGGGGUCCUGAGAGGGAGAUCCCCCACACUGGUACUGAGACACGGACCAGACUCCUACGGGAGGCAGCAGUGAGGAAUAUUGCACAAUGGGCGAAAGCCUGAUGCAGCCAUGCCGCGUGUGUGAAGAAGGCCUUCGGGUUGUAAAGCACUUUCAGCGAGGAGGAAAGGGUGUAGCUUAAUACGCUAUAUCUGUGACGUUACUCGCAGAAGAAGCACCGGCUAACUUCGUG